rfam:Monodelphis domestica chromosome 2, whole genome shotgun sequence.
CCAAAGGCUCUUUUCAGAGCCACCCAUUUUUUUCAAAGAAAAAGCCG